rnacentral:rRNA from 1 species
UACGUAAGCGGCAAGCGUUAUCCGGAAUUAUUGGGCGUAAAGGGCGUGUAGGUGGCUUAGUAAGUCAAUGGUGAAAAAAUCAAGCUCAACUUGAUAUAAUGCCAUUGAAACUACGAAGCUAGAGUAUAGGAGAGGGAGACGGAAUUAUCACAGUAGCGGUGAAAUGCGUAGAUAGUGAUAGGAAGGCCAACAACGAAGGUAGUUUUCUAGACAUAUACUGACACUAAGGCGCGAAAGCUAGGGGAGUAAACAGG